CCUUCUCAAACAUUCUGUUUGGUAGUGAGUGAUACUCUUUGGAGUUAACUUGAAAUUGCUGGCCUUUUCAUUGGAUGUUUUUUUUUUCCAAAGAGAGGUUUCUCUGCGUGCUUGAGGUAUAAUGCAAGUACGGUCGUUUUAGGUUUUACCAACUGCGGCUAAUCUUUUUUAUACUGAGCGUAUUGGAACGUUAUCGAUAAGAAGAGAGCGUCUAGGCGAACAAUGUUCUUAAAGU
rnacentral:rRNA from 1 species